CCCGAUAUUUGGUACACCAUGUUGUACACGCUACUGUUAAAAAACUAUGACUCAGGCCUUCUACAGAAAUAAUUUUGCAUCUGGUGAUCCAUACUUAGGCUAAGCAGAGAUGCUAAAGUCUUGUUUAUGUCUUGCGUCUGCAUCAGUGAAGGGACACGCAACACCAUUUUCCGUCAUUGCGUAGGCUCUCCAGCAGGCUUGCAAGGAUAAACAGAGUCAAGCCCACUUUUCUAAACAUGCGUCAAACAAGACAGAAAACGCAAGCCUAUGAUUGGUCAGGACGCUGCUUCCGAGAGCCGAAGAUAUCUAGCGGCACACUUGGAGCAGCUUGAAGAAUACCUCACAAAAAAAAAACUCUAAAAAUAUGAACGUUUCAUUCACCAGUGACUGGAGGAGUAUAAAGACACACAGUAAGCAUUUUAUUCGUGGAUAGAAAUGAUGGGAAAUGUAGGUUUAGAGGAGCACAUGAAGAGGUGGAGAAGAAUGAGAGACUAUGUCCGUGUUAAAAAGUUUCUGAAAUACAAAAAGCACAACAGAAGCACGAUAGUAAAUGCACUAACUUGGACCGGUUACAUGACAGCAUACCCCAGAAAAGCACACCGCCCGCUGUUGUCCUGGCGGGGAAUUGCUUUGCAACACUGCGUCAAUAUGUGUGUGUAUCUUCCUUGUAGAGCUGACGGAGAAGGACAAACUAGGCUUUAGGCCUGGCGACCCGACCCCGGAUAAGCGGAUGAUAAUGGAUGCAUGGAUGAUCCAUAAUUUCUUUGCCUGGCCAUUUCAGAGGGUUUACUGCUUGAAAUUAGGCCUGGGUGAUUUGGCAAAAAGAAAG